AACGAACGCUGGCGGCAUGCCUAACACAUGCAAGUCGAACGAGACCUUCGGGUCUAGUGGCGCACGGGUGCGUAACGCGUGGGAACCUGCCCUUAGGUUCGGAAUAACUCCCCGAAAGGGGUGCUAAUACCGGAUAAUGUCUUCGGACCAAAGAUUUAUCGCCUUUGGAUGGGCCCGCGUUGGAUUAGCUAGUUGGUAGGGUAAAAGCCUACCAAGGCGACGAUCCAUAGCUGGUCUGAGAGGAUGAUCAGCCACACUGGGACUGAGACACGGCCCAGACUCCUACGGGAGGAAGCAGUGGGGAAUAUUGGACAAUGGGCGAAAGCCUGAUCCAGCAAUGCCGCGUGAGUGAUGAAGGCCUUAGGGUUGUAAAGCUCUUUUACCCGGGAUGAUAAUGACAGUACCGGGAGAAUAAGCUCCGGCGAACUCCGU
rnacentral:rRNA from 1 species